rnacentral:rRNA from 1 species
UCAUCUCCGGGGGUAGAGCACUGUUUCGGCAAGGGGGUCAUCCCGACUUACCAACCCGAUGCAAACUGCGAAUACCGGAGAAUGUUAUCACGGGAGACACACGGCGGGUGCUAACGUCCGUCGUGAAGAGGGAAACAACCCAGACCGCCAGCUAAGGUCCCAAAGUCAUGGUUAAGUGGGAAACGAUGUGGGAAGGCCCAGACAGCCAGGAUGUUGGCUUAGAAGCAGCCAUCAUUUAAAGAAAGCGUAAUAGCUCACUGGUCGAGUCGGCCUGCGCGGAAGAUGUAACGGGGCUAAACCAUGCACCGAAGCUGCGGCAGCGACACUAUGUGUUGUUGGGUAGGGGAGCGUUCUGUAAGCCUGUGAAGGUGUGCUGUGAGGCAUGCUGGAGGUAUCAGAAGUGCGAAUGCUGACAUAAGUAACGAUAAAGCGGGUGAAAAGCCCGCUCGCCGGAAGACCAAGGGUUCCUGUCCAACGUUAAUCGGGGCAGGGUGAGUCGACCCCUAAGGCGAGGCCGAAAGGCGUAGUCGAUGGGAAACAGGUUAAUAUUCCUGUACUUGGUGUUACUGCGAAGGGGGGACGGAGAAGGCUAUGUUGGCCGGGCGACGGUUGUCCCGGUUUAAGCGUGUAGGCUGGUUUUCCAGGCAAAUCCGGAAAAUCAAGGCUGAGGCGUGAUGACGAGGCACUACGGUGCUGAAGCAACAAAUGCCCUGCUUCCAGGAAAAGCCUCUAAGCAUCAGGUAACAUCAAAUCGUACCCCAAACCGACACAGGUGGUCAGGUAGAGAAUACCAAGGCGCUUGAGAGAACUCGGGUGAAGGAACUAGGCAAAAUGGUGCCGUAACUUCGGGAGAAGGCACGCUGAUAUGUAGGUGAAGUCCCUUGCGGAUGGAGCUGAAAUCAGUCGAAGAUACCAGCUGGCUGCAACUGUUUAUUAAAAACACAGCACUGUGCAAACACGAAAGUGGACGUAUACGGUGUGACGCCUGCCCGGUGCCGGAAGGUUAAUUGAUGGGGUCAGCGCAAGCGAAGCUCUUGAUCGAAGCCCCGGUAAACGGCGGCCGUAACUAUAACGGUCCUAAGGUAGCGAAAUUCCUUGUCGGGUAAGUUCCGACCUGCACGAAUGGCGUAAUGAUGGCCAGGCUGUCUCCACCCGAGACUCAGUGAAAUUGAACUCGCUGUGAAGAUGCAGUGUACCCGCGGCAAGACGGAAAGACCCCGUGAACCUUUACUAUAGCUUGACACUGAACAUUGAGCCUUGAUGUGUAGGAUAGGUGGGAGGCUUUGAAGUGUGGACGCCAGUCUGCAUGGAGCCGACCUUGAAAUACCACCCUUUAAUGUUUGAUGUUCUAACGUUGACCCGUAAUCCGGGUUGCGGACAGUGUCUGGUGGGUAGUUUGACUGGGGCGGUCUCCUCCUAAAGAGUAACGGAGGAGCACGAAGGUUGGCUAAUCCUGGUCGGACAUCAGGAGGUUAGUGCAAUGGCAUAAGCCAGCUUGACUGCGAGCGUGACGGCGCGAGCAGGUGCGAAAGCAGGUCAUAGUGAUCCGGUGGUUCUGAAUGGAAGGGCCAUCGCUCAACGGAUAAAAGGUACUCCGGGGAUAACAGGCUGAUACCGCCCAAGAGUUCAUAUCGACGGCGGUGUUUGGCACCUCGAUGUCGGCUCAUCACAUCCUGGGGCUGAAGUAGGUCCCAAGGGUAUGGCUGUUCGCCAUUUAAAGUGGUACGCGAGCUGGGUUUAGAACGUCGUGAGACAGUUCGGUCCCUAUCUGCCGUGGGCGCUGGAGAACUGAGGGGGGCUGCUCCUAGUACGAGAGGACCGGAGUGGACGCAUCACUGGUGUUCGGGUUGUCAUGCCAAUGGCACUGCCCGGUAGCUAAAUGCGGAAGAGAUAAGUGCUGAAAGCAUCUAAGCACGAAACUUGCCCCGAGAUGAGUUCUCCCUGAC